rnacentral:rRNA from 1 species
UACAGAGGGUGCGAGCGUUGUUCGGAUUUACUGGGCGUAAAGGGCGCGUAGGCGGUUUUAUAAGCCAGAUGUGAAAGCCCACGGCUCAACCGUGGAAGUGCAUCUGGAACUGUAAGACUUGAGUACUGGAGGGGAGUGUGGAAUUCCCGGUGUAGAGGUGAAAUUCGUAGAUAUCGGGAGGAAUACCGGUGGCGAAGGCGACACUCUGGACAGAUACUGACGCUGAGGCGCGAAAGCGUGGGGAGCAAACAGG